GCCUCAUUAGCUCAGCUGGCUAGAGCACCUGACUCUUAAUCAGGGUGUCCACGGUUCGAACCCGUGAUGGGGUA
rnacentral:tRNA from 1 species